rnacentral:misc_RNA from 1 species
GUUCCCUCAUAGAAGCUGUUAGAAGGAAAUUCAGAAAGCGAUGGGUGCAUACGAUAUUGGACCUGCAACCUAAUUGGCUUCACACCAAGAAGAACAAGACGUUCAAAGAGGGACUGAGCCAGCCCUACACGUGCUGCUUUUUUGCACAUAAUGACAGGUCCCAGUUGGCAAUGGUCACCAACAAGAACAGCCUGCUUUGCUCCAAGAACAAGAGGAAUGAGACAUUCAGGUUCCG